rnacentral:rRNA from 1 species
UACGUAGGGUGCGAGCGUUGUCCGGAAUUAUUGGGCGUAAAGAGCUCGUAGGCGGUCUGUCGCGUCGAAUGUGAAAACCCGGGGCUCAACUCCGGGCUUGCAUUCGAUACGGGCAGGCUAGAGUUCGGUAGGGGAGUCUGGAAUUCCUGGUGUAGCGGUGAAAUGCGCAGAUAUCGGGAGGAACACCGGUGGCGAAGGCGGCAUCCUGGACCGGCAUUGACGCUGAGGCGCGAAAGCCAGGGGAGCAAACGGG